rnacentral:rRNA from 1 species
UUUGCAGAGGGAUAGCCCAGAGAAAUUUGGAAUUAAUACCUCAUAGUAUAGCAGUUUCGCAUGAAACCACUAUUAAAGUCAACAACGGCAAAAGAUGAGCAUGCGUCCCAUUAGCUAGUUGGUAAGGUAACGGCUUACCAAGGCUACGAUGGGUAGGGGUCCUGAGAGGGAGAUCCCCCACACUGGUACUGAGACACGGACCAGACUCCUACGGGAGGCAGCAGUGAGGAAUAUUGGACAAUGGGCGCAAGCCUGAUCCAGCCAUGCCGCGUGCAGGAUGACGGUCCUAUGGAUUGUAAACUGCUUUUGUACAGGAAGAAACACUCC